rnacentral:rRNA from 1 species
GCCUGCCCAGUGACCUUGUUUACGGCCGCGGUAUCCUAACCGUGCGAAGGUAGCGUAAUCACUUGUUCUCUAAAUGCGGACUUGUAUGAACGGCAUCACGAGGGUUAUACUGUCUCCUUUUUCUAAUCAGUGAAACUAAUCUCCCCGUGAAGAGGCGGGGAUAAGACUAUAAGACGAGAAGACCCUAUGGAGCUUUAAAUAAUAUAGCACUUGCCCUAUAACAUAAAAUUUCCGAAUCUUAUUCCAAAGCGAUAUGACUAUAAGUUUUUGGUUGGGGUGACCGCGGAGCAAAAUUUAACCUCCAUGUUGAAAGAAUUAAGCUAAGAAUCACCCUUCUAAGCAUCAAUAUAUUGACAUCAAUUGACCCAAUACACUUGAACAACGAACCAAGUUACCCUAGGGAUAACAGCGCA